GUGACCGACGGUUUUCGAAGUUCUGACGGCGUGACCGCAGUAAUAGGGAGGGGAAAGAAGAGGGAGAUAUAGAAAUAGCCAAACAUUGAAUAAAACAACAGAUGGGGGUCGCAGGGGGGCUGGAGCCUAUUGGCGAAAGGCAGGAAUACACCCUGGACAGGUCGCCAGUCCAUCGAAGGGCACACACCAUUCGCUCACACACUCAUACCUAUAGGCAAUUUAGACUCUCCAAUCAGCCUAACCUGCAUGUCUUUGGACUGUGAGAGGAAGCCGGAGUACCCGGAGGAAACCCACGCAAACUCCGCACAGAGAGGCCCCGGCCGACGGGGAUUCGAAUCCCACUGCACCAUCCGUGCCGCCUUGUUUUUAUUUAUGUUGUUCAUUUGAAAAUCACUGUCGAUAUUACUAAUAAUAAUAUUACCUGCAAAAUCGUUCUUGUGUCCAUGGUUCAUGGUGACGAAUCAACAAAUAAAUGAACAAUAAAUAAAGGUGCCAUAUGCUGCUGUUAAUGUAA